rnacentral:rRNA from 1 species
AGAGUGUGAUCCUGGCUCAGGACGAACGCUGGCGGCGUGCUCCACACAUGCAGGUCGAACGGUUCUAGAGGUUAGAGAUUAGAGGUUAGAAGUUGGAAUCUGUAAUCGAGAUUGACAUUUACGUGAAUUUCCUCGAGUCUGACAUCUAAUUUCCAAUCUCUAACUUCUAGGAUAGUGGCGGACGGGUGAGUAACACGUGAGCAACCUGCCCGACAACCCGGGAUAACAGCGGGAAACUGUUGCUAAUACCGGAUACACCAGUUUUAACGCAUGUUAGAACUGGGAAAGGGUUUACCGAUGUCGGAUGGGCUCGCGACCCAUUAGCUUGUUGGUGGGGUAACGGCCUACCAAGGCUGCGAUGGGUAGCUGGUCUGAGAGGACGAUCAGCCACACUGGAACUGAGACACGGUCCAGACUCCUACGGGAGGCAGCAGUGGGGAAUAUUGCACAAUGGGCGAAUGCCUGAUGCAGCGACGCCGCGUGGAGGAUGAAGGCCUUCGGGUCGUAAACUCCUGUCUGGGGGGAUGAAUUUUUGACAGUACCCCCGGAGGAAGCCCCGGCUAACUACGUGCCAGCAGCCGCGGUAAUACGUAGGGGGCGAGCGUUGUCCGGAAUUACUGGGCGUAAAGCGCGCGCAGGUGGCUUGUUAAGUCAGGUGUCAAAAUGCGGAGCUCAACUCCGCAGCGCACUUGAAACUGGCAGGCUUGAGUGCAGGAGAGGAAAGUGGAAUUCCUAGUGUAGCGGUGAAAUGCGUAGAUAUUAGGAGGAACACCAGUGGCGAAGGCGACUUUCUGGACUGCAACUGACACUGAGGCGCGAAAGCUAGGGGAGCAAACAGAAUUAGAUACCCUGGUAGUCCUAGCCG